CUCAUAGCUCACUGAUCCAUGGGAAGCAGAGUGUGGAUCUCUACGUUUUUAUGAUGGAUGUUCAUCGGAAAGCAGAUCGAAUGUUUCCUCAUGCUCAGGAACUGCUGAAGCAGCAGGACCAGCUCACAUGAAAAUCAGACAUCCAACAGAUGUCUUUAAAGAGUUUAGCAAGAUUAAAUUUAAGAGGCCAUUUAAAGAAGCACAGCAUUUGUCUACUGAACACUAAAGUAUCACUCAGGAAGAUAUUAAAAUUUUUCACUCUUGGAACAUUCCUUGGAUCUCUGCUGCUGUGCUGUGAGAAAAACAAGCUACAAGUAUAGGACACAUGUUGAAGCUCCAAUUGAUAGCUGCAAUUGAGCUCCUUGCCAAUGACCAACAUCCUACGUCAACCAUGUGAAGUGGUCCUCUUCACUGUCCCAGCAUAACUGAGCACACAGGUGAUCAAGGCAGAGCCAAUUCCACAGGAAGUAAGAGAGCAUUGGUGUUAGCCCAUUCAACACCAAGACUAGUGAGAAAUUGCUGUUGUUUUAAGCCACUAAAUCUUGGAGGGGUUUGUUAAGAAAGUAACUGAAAAAGUGUCUUCCGUGAAUAAGGGUCAAGGAACCAUAGGAAUAGAUGAGUGUAGGGGGCCCUGCCCCCCCGCUGGAACUCUUGAGUGCCUUCUACGGACAUGCCCGGGCUUGCUGCAAAUCUACCCGGCAACAAGGAAGUAGCCCCAGUACACUCCUCUUGCUCCUCCCCUCUCGCCCUACGGUAUAUAUGUUGUAACAGCUUCCGCAAUA